rnacentral:rRNA from 1 species
ACUCGAUAAUCCACGAAUACCCAACCUUCUUUUGAUAUUUCAGCAUGUGUACUGCCGUUGUAAGCAUACCUCUAAAAGAAUAGUAUGCCACUAUGAUUAUAACUAGCUCAUAUACAUCAGGUCAAAGUGCAGCUAAUAAGAAGGUGAUGAUGGGUUACAACCCUAAACCAGACUAUCGACUAAGAAAUAAAAAAUCUUACGAAAGUGGACUUGGCUGUAAUCAACUUACAAGUUAAAAAAAUGAAUACAAAUCUAAGACAUGCACACAUCGCCCGUCACUCUAUCCUAAAGGUUAGAUAAGUCGUAACAAAGUAGGUGUAAUGGAAAUUGCACCUGUCGAAGUAUAGCAUAUAUAAUGCUUUUUACUUACACUAAAAAUAAAGUUAACCAACUUACUUCGCCCACAAAAAUAAAUCUUAUAAUAGACCAAUAAUAGAAACAAUUAAAUAACCUAACUAUCAUAAAGUACAGAAAUGGAAACAAUAACUAAUAAAAGUAAAUUUUAACAAAUGUACCUUGUGCAUUAUGGUUUUACAAGAAAACAAUUAAAAAUAUAAAUCCCGAAUUCUAAAUGAGAUGUUAAACUGCUGUCAAGAACCCACUAAUAACUGUAGAACAAGUUUUAAUAGACAGUUUAACAGAGGCUACAUACCAUACGCAUAAGAAUAUAGCUGGUUUUCAACAAACAUUAUAUAUUAAAACAUAUAAUUAUAUUAUAGUGUAAUACUACUGAGGAUAAGCCCAAUAGUCUAAACAAUACUAACAUAGACCUGUACAUAUUUAAUAGGCCUAAAAUCAGCCAACUAAAAUACUUUAUCGUAACACAUAAUGGUAAAAUGUGUAACUCCCAUAUGUAAAAAAUAGUUGAAAUAAUGGAUAAAUCAACUACCCCAAAUUUAAUAUGUAAAAAUAAGUAUUAUAAAAUCACCUCCGUAAUAAUCUAGAAUAUAGCAAUAGCUUUAAGAAUAAUAAUUAAUUAAGGAACUCGGCAAACCCCUAUUUCGACUGUUUAACAAAAACAUUGUCUCAUGAAUAAAAUAUGAGAUAAUACCUG